rnacentral:lncRNA from 1 species
UGGAUUUUUGACAUACUUUGUGAAGGAUGUAAUCCAUGUUCUAACUACUACAUGUACCAUGCAGCCACACAACUCAACCUUUACAAAUUCUCAAACCACACAUAUGGGUGAAACUUAUUUUUUCGAUUUUGACACUAACAGAUUUUCUGUCUAUGUACAUGAUUAAGUUGAUUUAAUUUUAUUACCUAUUACGGUUAACAGAUAAUCUUACCCUACAUCACUUAAUUGUCUGCAAUGAAGCACAACGGGACUCAUUUGAUCACGAAAUCCAACUCAGAUUUUCUUAAGUCAUCUAACAUUUUCCAUUGUUGUAGUUGUUGCAGGUCCCGCAAUAUUUCCUGUCGUGAUUAAAACAGAGCUGUAAUGUUCAGAUACAUACAUGUUGUCUGUGUGAGAGGGAUGCAACUAUAUGCCAUUGUCAUCUUCCUUUGCAACCGCGUAUUUAUCCCAAGGAUGUCAUAGCAUCUCCGGAAACUUUUCGACUGGGUUCCUAUACAUUGGUAUUCCCAUUAUGCAGCAUCCUGGCCAGCCGCCUAAACCUGUGACCUUAUGACUAACACCAGCCUCCCCAUCUUGUGCCUCCCCCAAACUGAUUGAUUAUUAUUUUUUCACUAUCAUCUUGCUCCUUCAUGCCCACCUGUAGUGCAAAGCAUUACGCAUGAUUCAUUGAACUGCAUCAAUUAUCACACUAGAUAAUCAACCUAAAAUAAUAAAAAAAAAAACAAUUACGUGAUGUGAAGUCCAUGACCAGUAAACUUUUACAUCAAUCACAUUUAGUUAGGCCCGUAUCCGAUUAUUGGUUAAUCUGUACUUAUUAUGUAUUUAACAGUUGUUUCUGGCCAAAACGAAUAACAUAAAUUAAAACCAUAUGAUGAUACUAAAAAAACUUCCAUGAUCGCCACAAUCAAUUUUGACAAUCUGAGUCAUAAUCUCCGCAUGCACACUUUAUAUUAUAUACUAGGCUAUUGUCUCAAAUGUUCAUAUAUGCUAUAUAGCCUUUUACACAUUGACGAAAAAUAUAAACACUUCAAAUUUUUUUAAUCUCUUUCGCACCGCAAUAUUUAUUAUUUUAUCAUGUGCCUUUACUAUACGUUCGUCAAAAUGGAAAUAUUCACAGAUCAAUAAAUUAACACGAUACUAAUAACCUGAUUACCUCGCAUAAAAGGAUAAAUUUACCAUUGCAAAUUUGUAUUCACCCCGCAUAAUUCCUGUAACGAAUGUGUGAUUAACGUUUCCAAAUAACAAAAUUUCGCCGAUCUUCAUGGCCUACAGCACUGGCUAUCGUUUCUGAUAUGAGUAAUUAAGCUGAUAUUUCUAGAAUGGUAGAGUUCAUUCUUUGACAACCGAAUAUUAGGUUUUAGGGAUUUUGUUCCCAUGUUGUCU